AAUAUUUGAUGUAAAAAACAAUCUUUAUUAUUACCGCAAGACAUUGUUAUUGGACCCUAUAUGACUUUUUUAAACAAUACAAUAAACGUUGUACAUAUUUUCAAACAAACAAAUAUUUUCUACUAUAAACAAACAGCCAUGUAUAUGAGUUUUCAUUUUUCUAUAACUCAAUGAUUUUUUUAUUCGAUAAUCAGCGUUUUACUGUUACCAAGUUGGUUAGUGGACCAAGUUUAAAGCCCAAAUAAAAAAAUGCGAUAUCACUACACACUGCUGACUGCUCAGUAUACAAGUAGAAAACCUAGCUGAAAUUCGCAGAUGACGCGUAACGUUGUUUUUUGCUCAAGCGAAUGAGGCUCCGGCGAGGGUGAUGAGGUUUCUGUCAGAGCAACUCCUCUUGCCAUUUGAUCCUCCGAUCAAGUAUUAGCCGAUGAUUUCGACGCCGAUUCACCACCAACUACUCUACCUUUGUAUCUCUCUCUCUCUCUCUAUAUAUAUAUAUCAAUACAUUCAUACACGCAAACAUACAUACUCUCUCUCUCUCUCUCUCUCUCUGAGGGCAUUCGCAUAAUUUUUAGUGGUGUUGUUGUUGCUGUUGAUUUGUACUUCCGAUGGACGAGGCGGUGACGAUGAAAUGUAGCCUGAGCAAAUUCGGAGUUUUGGAGACCUGAUCUGUAUCUUGGCUGGGCAAUCCGGAAGGCAAUUUUUGUUGUUUGGAGUUUUCUCUCUCUAAAUUGACAUGCACAUUGCAACUGCGAUUGCAGCCAUGACGGAUUUAGGCAAAACAAACUCCUUUACAACAAAUCUGAGCCUCCGUUUUACUCUCGCAUGAAGCUUUUCGAUUUAGGAGGCAAUGACAGGAGCAGCAACAAUUGAUAGAAUGGAGGUGUAUGUGAUAUGUGUUACUGUAAAAUGUUUAUCAGGUUAAGGGGUAUAUUGGUCAAUUCCUUUAAAUGGUUUUGAUAAGCAAGGAUAUCCAACUUAUCAAAAGACUUGUUAUUAAACAAGUUCUUAACCUUGUUUAGAUGGUUUAUUCAGUAUAACAGAAAACUGCAAAUAUUAUUUGUUGAUAGUGGGAUUUGAACCAACGACCUUUGGGACCAGAACCAAAAUCUGGCGCCUUUGACCAACUUGGUCAUCUCAACAUUUGGUUUGUUCAUUGUUGAUGUAAAGCAAAAUCGGAAUCUUUUGAUCUAAUUCGUAUCUUGGCUGGGCAAUCCAAAUGAUAUGUACUUGUGUCUAGAAGUUUCUUUUCCAAAGGUAACACAACUUUGAUUGCAGCCAUGGCGGAUUUUUGGCAAUUGAAUUCCUUAGUUUACAACAGAACUAUGCCUUGGCAUUUAUUACAGCAUCUUAUUUUCAUUUCUUCUUAUUACAACAUUGUACUUUGAAAAAUCUAUCCAAUUAUAGCAAUGGUGGUGGUGGUGGUGAUAUCGGUAGUAUAUUGUACUUUGAAAAAUCAAUGGUGGUGGUGGUGGUGGUGUUGAUAUCAGUAGUAUAUCAAUGGAAAUUUGUUUAUUUGGCUGUGAUGAUUUGUCUUCUUGAGUUAAAGUUGAAACGGCAUGGAUGAUUGGAUUUUUAUCAUGGCAUGGCAUGGCAUUAUCCAGAUGGCAGAGCGGGAGGGAUUUGAUUUUCCCUCACUUUGCAACUGUGUAUGUUUGCAACCAUAUGAUAGAGACCCCAUCUUCUUUGCCUUGAGACCCAAUUACAUAUCUGAGCCUAAUAAUUUUCUUUGUUUUUCAAGUCUUUUUCUCUUGAAUUUAAUGUGAUUUUUUAUUUUUCUUCUUUGAUUUUCAAGUUUUAAGGUCUACCGGACUUGUGGUUUUAACUUUUUGUAGACGUCUCGGUUGAUAUAUUGAACUAAUUGUAGUAAUAACUCUUAGCAUUUUAUUCCUCAAUGCUUUUACUGUUAAAGUGUUGCGUAAUAUAUGAAUUAACAAGUUUUAACAUUUAUAAUAACAUUAUCAUUUUUUUGGUAGUUUAUUGUUCAGACAUAAAUAUUUGAUUUAUGUUUUUGAAGAUCUUGUCUUAAUAUGCUAGGAAAUGAAUGCAUAACAUGUUAUCUAAUAUUUAAUAAAGAAAACUCUUAUUGUAAAAAUAAAUAUCGUAGGAUUUAUUUUUGAGCUUACAUGUGUUAGUCUAACGGUUUCUUUUUUAUGAUGAAACUGAAAGACUUGUGAAAUAAUUGUUUGUUUCGAUUGUAAUUUUAUAAUAAAGGAUUUGAAAGGAUCUCUCGUGCAGUUCUGUAUUUAUUAAAAUUCAGUUGAUGCUUGUGUUUGAUUUGGAUA